rnacentral:lncRNA from 1 species
CAGCCUCCUGUUCCUUUCCUCAUUCCAUAGUGGGUCUGGCUCAGGGAGAGAAAACAGUGAAGGCCCAGACAAACCCUGACCAGUCCUACAAGUCUCAACCACUCUUUUGUCUGUCAGGUGGUAGAUGUCUCAUCAGGGGACUCCCCGGACAGACAAAGCACAGGCUGAGAGGCCUGGCUUCUUGCCCCACCCCAGCUCAGCUCCUGGGCCAUCUGCUGUGUUGCUGUGCACCCAGUUUCCAGCACAAUUCUGACCUCAGAUGCCACUCUGCUUCCAAGACCAAUCCUGACUUGAGGAAGGAAGCCCUUGGGCAGCCUUGGCCCCCUCCAGCGGACUCUAAAUUGGGCCACAGCCCCUGUAAGUCUUCCUAGACAAGCCAGGCCCAGAGAUGAACACUGGGGCCCUGCCUGACUCACAAAUCCCCUCACAGUUAACGGAACUGGGUCCAGCCAAAGCUGCGACCCGAGUCAUAUCACCUCCUUUGCAGGCUCCCUGUGGUGAUGAGUGUCUUCUGCAUGGAUUCGUACUCUGUGCUCCAGUUUGAGUAAGCCGGCCUGUAGCUUGGGCCCUGGUCCCCAAGUCCCUAUUCUGAUAUCUGUCUGCUAUUCUUUAUCCUUUUCCCUCCACUCCCAUCCUCGGGUCCAGUUGGCCUGGAUUUCCAAGUAGCACUUCCCCCAGCUUCCAAGAUUGUCCCCCUUGAUCCUCUCUUCCUGGCAGUCACACCUAUGUGCAGUUUUCUCCCACAGUGAGUCCGAGUGAACUCUGUGACCAAGCUAGAAUGCAGUUGAACUGACAGCGGGUGUCGGACUUCUGAGGCUGGGUCAUAACAGGCACCAGAGCUUCUACUUUUCCCUCUUGGAUCUGUCACUCUGGGAAAGCCAGCUGCCUUGCCAUGAAGAUGCUCAGGCAGCCCAUGUUGGGGGGAACUGGAGCUUCCCCCAGGAGCCAGCACCAACUUGCCAGCAUAAGAGUAAACCACCUUGGAAGCAGAUCUCACAGGUCCAGUCCAGCCAUUAUAUGUCUGUAGGCUGACCGACAUAUGACUGCAACCUUGACCUCAUGGGAUAGCUUGAGCCAGAACUACCAGCCAAGCUGCUCCUGAAUUCCUGACUCAUAGGAACCAUGAAAGAGAGUAAGUAGUGAUUUUGUCUUAAGCCACUAACCUUGGGAACUACUUGUUACACAGCAGUAAGUAACUGAUACACCCUCUUCUCUGGUUUUCCUGAGGCAGUGCUCCAUCCACCCCUGGAACCCUCUGUUACUUCACGGACAAUUCACAACCCCACCCCUGCCCCUGAUCCCAGACAAGUGCUAGUGAUCACUUCAUUGCUAAUUCUACUCCAUCCCUUUUACCAUGUCUUGCUGUGAGCA